rnacentral:rRNA from 1 species
CCCUUAGACGUUCUGGGCCGCACGCGCGCUACACUGACCAGUGCAACAAGCAUCCGUCCUUGGCCGACAGGCCCGGGCAAUCUUUGAACGCUGGUCGUGAUGGGGAUAGACUUUUGCAAUUUUUGGUCUUCAACGAGGAAUUCCUAGUAAACGCAAGUCAUCAACUUGCAUUGAUUACGUCCCUGCCCUUUGUACACACCGCCCGUCGCACCUACCGAUUGAAUGGUCCGGUGAAAUCUCGGGAUUGUGGCCAGUUCACUUUAUUGGGAGUUGGCUGCGAGAACUUGCUUAAACCUUAUCAUUUAGAGGAAGGUGAAGUCGUAACA